AUUAAUCUAAUUAAUUAACAUGAAUUUACCCUACACAAGGAUCUAAAUAUGAUAUAUAGCAUGCAUUCAUUUAAAUUUGAAUUUCAAAUUCAAACAGUAAACACUUUACUGUAAUGUGUUCAAAACACAAUACCUUUGUGCGAGUAGUAGAUCGCUACAAUCUAAUCACCGUCGGGAGAGUCUGAUCAUCGCGACACAGCCACACAAUAUGUCUGGCCUCUGUGGAUCAUUCACACGAAGCUCUCGGU
rnacentral:lncRNA from 1 species